CAAGGUUUACAGAUCUUGAAUGUUGGAGAAUGUGGAGAAUAUUUCAGCAAUCAUCCUACACGUUUAUUCACAUGUUGGUUAAACAUUCCCCCUGUAUGUAUCUGUACAGAACUGCUCUCCCAGGCAAAACCAAAAGGUGAGAAGAGAUCUACCGGACAAACUCACAGCUAUUCUUUCAGCAGGACCCAUCUCUGCAGCAAAGAGGAAACUGACAAACUGGCCUGGAGCCCAGAUCAUGCUAUCAGUGGCCGGAGGAUUGAUUGGCCUCUUUUUUCUGACAGCACUGGGUGUGCGUGCAGCACACGCUAUAACACAGCACAACCCCAGACAUCAAUAAAGUGUGUAUACCUGCA